CAGGAAAAGGGGGCAGUUUGCAGAAAGAGACGCAGAGAGCUCAUUACAAACGAUGUCUUCAUAGCUGUCUGACUUGGCUUCGGGGUUUUCCUUCCGUUUCCUCGAUUUAAUUAGCCGUUUCACAGCACUUCCCAUGAUCUGCUCCUUUGAUAAGCCCCAUCCUAAAUUAUACAUGACUGGAGGGUGACGUAUCCUCUCUUCCCAGGGGCAUUUUAUCCCCGGUUUCUGAAGUUGAGUCGCGGAGAUGUUUAGUGAGAUCUGUCUAUUUCCCUGCUCAUCCAGCAUGAAACGGUGUUAAAUAGAAAGUUUUUGUGUUGACCUAGCCCCCGACAGGCUGCAUUUUCCUGCCUUACUGUACUUACCGAGCCUCCAAAUGAAUGCAAGGUGCCUAUCAGGCAGAAACAAUAAAAUCCCGUGGACUUGUAUUCGAGGUCCUAUGCCUUGCAAAGAUAUGUAAAUAUUGCUUUUGAUUCUUUCAGAAGCGAGUGUGCAAGCUGUUAGAAACCCUUCCAAAUGAGGCCGAUGCUCGCCUCAUUGACUGUGCUAUGGAGCUGGAUUCCAAACAGAAGCUCUCCUCUGGCUGCGGUCCGUGGGAUGCAAAGACAAAGCCAAAUUCUAUGGUUUUUGAAAACCAAGGAAGCAGAGGUACUGCCCAGCCGUGCCCGAGAUGUAUUGCUGGAGAAUCUAGAGGGGGGAUUCUUUCUGGCUCCCAGUUCCAGUCAGCAGAGUUUGGUGGUUUACACAGCGUGCCACACAAAGACAGGCCUAGAGCAGCUGGAGCUGCGUUAGAGUGCAGCUGAAUUGACGUUGUGCUGAGCUCCUAACACCGUCCUGAUCCGAGCUGGCUCACGUGAGUGUCCCUGCAUUCACAGCACAACUCGGCUCUAAGCCCUCUAACUCCCGAUGAUGA
rnacentral:lncRNA from 1 species